UACGGGGGGGGCAAGCGUUGUUCGGAAUUACUGGGCGUAAAGGGCGUGUAGGCGGCCAACUAAGUCCGACGUGAAAUCCCCAGGCUUAACCUGGGAACUGCGUGUGAUACUGGCGGGCUUGAAUUCGGGAGAGGGAUGUGGAAUUCCAGGUGUAGCGGUGAAAUGCGUAGAUAUCUGGAGGAACACCGGUGGCGAAGGCGGCAUCCUGGACCGAGAUUGACGCUGAGGCGCGAAAGCUAGGGUAGCAAACGGG
rnacentral:rRNA from 1 species